rnacentral:rRNA from 1 species
GACGAACGCUGGCGGCGUGCUUAACACAUGCAAGUCGAACGGUAAGGCCCUUCGGGGUACACGAGUGGCGAACGGGUGAGUAACACGUGGGUGAUCUGCCCUGCACUUCGGGAUAAGCCUGGGAAACUGGGUCUAAUACCGGAUAGGACUCCGGACUGCAUGGUCUGGGGUGGAAAGCUUUUGCGGUGUGGGAUGGGCCCGCGGGCUAUCAGCUUGUUGGUGGGGUGAUGGCCUACCAAGGAGACGACGGGUAGCCGGCCUGAGAGGGUGACCGGCAACUCUGGGACUGAGAUACGGCCCAGACUCCUACGGGAGGCAGCAGUGGGGAAUAUUGCACAAUGGGCGCAAGCCUGAUGCAGCGACGCCGCGUGAGGGAUGACGGCCUUCGGGUUGUAAACCUCUUUCAGCAUCGACGAAGCGAAAGUGACGGUAGGUGCAGAAGAAGGACCGGCCAACUANGUGCCAGCCGCCGCGGUAA